ensembl:lincRNA
CAGCACCAGGUCUAUAUGCUGCCUGCUGGUUUACAUGUUGACCGGAGACAUGCUGACUUACUUCGAUUCCAAAGCCAAUCGCAGUAUACCGCUUCCAGCCAGCUUAACCAGUGAAUGUCGUGAACUGAUUGAAAAGUGUCUGAACAAAAGCAUGACACUGGAUGAGUUCUUACAACAUGACUGGAUGAAGUCGCACUUGGAUGAAGACAAGACUCAACGUAGAUGGAGUGUGAACUUCACAUAGAAAGCAGCAAAAUCUUCUACAGAAAAUCCCCUCAUCUUAAAAAAGAAAAAAAAAUCAAGAUUUUCUAUAAAAAAAACUCAUAAAAAUCAACACAAACAUCAUAAAGAACUGAUCCAGAACCAGAGCCCGAUCCAGAGUCUGCAGGAUCAGCAUCAUCAUCUCUCCCAGGAAACUGCCUCUUCUGUGCAGUCGGAAAUGGAAACCAGCGGUCGACUCCGAGGACAUGGAUGGUUUAAUCUGACGGCAUAUUGAGGAGGAAGUGUUGUUUCUCCUGAGGAUGAUGAUGAUUAGGAAACACCGGCGCCAGUACAAUGCAUUGGGUCAGGUUUAUAUGAAAAGCAAAAGGUUUAAAAAUUAUAGAUUUUAGGACAGCCCUAGGCUAAAAUGAGCAUGUAUUUUAUUUAUUGGUGAAAAUAAUUCCCUAAACACAAAUGAAGAUAUUUAUUAGAUGGAAUCAGAGAGCUCCCUCAUCCUCCAUAUACAGCAACAGCCCCAAGUUGCUCAGAAACAAAGUCCAGAAACUACCAGAAAAUCUUUUUUGGUAGUUUUCUAGACUUUUGAGGACGAGAGCGCUCUCAGAUUUCAGAAUUAGUGAUAUCAGAAAUGAGCUAGGAGGAGUACGGUGGUGGUGGAGGGCCUUGUUAUUCAGCUUGUGUUGUGGAUGCAAGUGUACAUCACUAACACUGACCCCUAAAGUAAUGUAGACUUCUAGAUUUCUAAUGUUAUUUUUGGACAGUCCUAGACUAAAAUAAGCAUGCAACACAAAUGAUAUUUUUAGAUGAAAUCUGAGAGCUCCCUCAUCCUCCAUAUACAGCAACAGCCCCAAGUUGCUCAGGAAUUCUGGUAUUUUUCUGGACUCUGAGGAUGAGAGAGCUCUCAGAAAUGCCAAUAUACUCAAUGAGCUAGGAGGAGUAAGGUGGUGGUGGAGGGCCUUUUAAUAACUAUAAUUAAUAAUAAUAAAAGUAUUGAUACAUGUUAAUAAGAGAGAUUAAUGAUGCCAGAAUUGUCAGUUUUGGGUGAACUGCCCCUUUAAGCAUUAGCAUCAGUGCAUUUCAUCAUGGUAAUGAAGUGAGGCUUGAUGAAUGAAAGUCUUAAUUAUUAUAUUUUAGUUGAAUCAUUAUUAAGUCACUGUUUAAAUGACAUCUGCAUCACAUCUUUAAAGUCAAGCAACAAAAACCCGUGUCAUGAUCUGAAGCCACACGACACAACAUGCAGGAGCUAAAAUACAACUGAUGAUCAGGUUUAGCUUAUCUUAUCAAUCUGACCCAAUGCAUCGCCACCCAGACUGAAGUACAGGUGAAAUCAGAGGCGUUGAGAGUGCCGGUGUUCAACUCUUUCAGGGUGGAUUUAUGUAAUCGUCACUCUUAUAAUCUCUAGAGAAACAACACAUCCUCCUCAAAUGACGUGUCCAUCGAUAUCCUUGCAGGAUCAGCAUUAAAGAGGCAGAUUGAUCCUUUUACUGAUUAAAUAAAGUUGAUUGUACAUCCAGAAAUGAAGAGUUUUGCCAUCGUUUACUCAUUCCUUGACUUGUUCAACACUAUUUUGAGUUUCUUCUGUUGAACACAAAAGAUGUUUUGAAGAAUUCGCCAUUGACCUCCACAGUGUGUGCUUUUCCUACUAUGGAUGUCAAUGGUCAUGCGUUUCAGCAUUCUUCAGUGCAUCUUCCUUUGUGUUCAACAGAUGAAAAUGAUCACAGAAUUUUCAUUUUUGGGUGAACUAUCUCUUAAAGUGUCUCCUAAAUACUGCUAAUUUCUCCCCGAGCCUCUGAUCAUGAGCUGAAUAACGGUGAGUUUGCUGUCAGUAUUACUUCUCAUUUUUAAUCAUUUAAGC